rnacentral:lncRNA from 1 species
AUGGGAAAUGUCUGCUGAAUAACCUCGACAGCAUAGCAGUGAAGCUGUCAAUCCCAGUAGCCAAGCCAGGCUCACUCUCCUCAGAGAUACUGGAGCUUCAUCUUUCUACUCAGAUAAGACUCUCCAGGCGCCUCAAGAGGAUGGACAGUCUGGGCUGAGGGACGGCUCAUUUGAUGAAGAGUCUGCUGCAAGCUCAUGGGGACCUGACUUCUGAUCCCCAGCAGCCAUGUAAAAGCCACGCAUGGUGACAUGCGCCAGGAGCCUCCGAUCUAGGGAUGCAGAGCUAGGCAGGUCCCUAGGGCUCAUUGGCCACCCAGCCAGGCAAAAUAUGUCCCCAUUUCAAUGAAAGACACCAUCUCAACAGUAAAAAUGAGGGGCAGAGCAGUUGAGAAUGGCCCCCAAAGUCAACCUCUAGCCUAUAACACACACACACACACACACACACACCACAGAGGGAGGGGUGGUGCACGUACCUCAUGACACAAGGCAGGAUUUAUUCUGGAGCAAACAGGGAACAGAGAAGCACCUGCUGUGCCCCACAGGAUUUGGGGUCCUUCCUUGGCAUUGUAUCACAGGGACUGCCAUCAAAUGAUGGACAGGCUCCUACAUGUCUUCUAUCCAAUAACUUUGUGUCACAGCAAAGCCAAGAUUUGUGCAGAAAGCAACUAGUAGCUUGGUUAGAAGGGCCCCGCCUACGCUCUU